GCCAGAGGAGACCCUGGCGGGGCCCUUGGCCUUGACGGCCACCCCUGAAUAAAACCCCAGACUCACCCGUCACGGGAGCAGGGAACCCAACGAGCCCCGAAGGGAAGGGGACCCAGCAGACCCCCAGCUGCCCCAGGAGUGAGGACCUGCCUUCCCGGACACUGCUGAGGCGGGGAGGUGACCCGGCAAAGCCUUGGGGUGUGGCAGACAGAUCAGGGUUCACACCCAGCCCCACUCAGCACGACCGAGACCCAGCCUCCUGCGAGAGCCUCCUGCGUUCCUCCAGAACCUUCCGCCUCAUGACGGAGGGCGACCUGCCAAUGCUGCCUGGGUCAGAGAGGAAACGGACACACGGAGGUUAGCGGUGUCUCAGGGCCCGCAGUCGGGUGGCUGGGCGAGCAGCAGCCUGGCCCUGAUCAGACAGUGGGCUCCCGAGCCCCAGCCGCCAGCCAGGGCCCACAGGCCACAGGGCACAGUGACCUGCGCUGGCUCCUGCCUGUGACCCGGGAGGGCUCACAGUACUAGGGACCCCCAGGCUUGAGCCUAGCUGUGUCCCCUGUGGCCACCCAGUAGCCAGCUUCCCUGUGCCAGCGUAGACGGCCUCAGUUUCCCCAUCUUGCUGGGAGGUAUGGGGCAGAGAACUCUGAUAGGGUGGGAGCUCCAGGGGACAAUGGGGAGGAGUCGGGGUGCAAGGGACCCCCUGCCCUGCUCCAGGGCCUCACCCCAGCCACCACGCCGCAGAUUCCAAAUGAUCGAUGCUAAACUCAGGACCCGGGGUU
rnacentral:lncRNA from 1 species